UAAUUUUAUAUUUCUGUUUUUUUGUAAUCAUAGUUGUGUUUAAUAUUAAUUUAAUUCAGUAUAAUUUUUGGUAACUAUAUUAAAUAUGUCAAGUUGCAUAACUAUACAUUUGUAUCAUAUGCAUUUCUGAAAUUAUUUUAAAAUUAUAUUCAUAAAAUUCAAUAUAAUUUUUGGUAACUAUAUUAAAUAUGUCAAAAUACUUUGUAAGAGGAUAAUAUAUAUUAGACUAUAUUAAAAAAAUACUCGAUUCUAAACCGGAUGGAUAGAAAGUUAUAAGGGUGAUCGAUUACAUUCGCCGGUAUGGCAUGCAAUAAAAAAAUUCUGACAUCAACGUGAUUUUCAAUUCAAAACAAACAAACAAGCAAUAGCGCUUUCAAAAAAAAAAAAAAACAAGCAAUAGUUAUACGAACUCUCAUUGCGAGACAAAAAGCCACAUGAACAAGUACAUUAAACACACGUGUGUAAAAUCUAAACACACGUGCACAAUAAGUGAUGGGAAAAUAAUUGAACUUUGAUAAUGGACGACUCUGAAAAACAAUACUCGACACAUCAUUGUUUUGGGUCAUUUCCUCCCGACAAAGAAAACGACUGAACAGAAAUGUUGUAACAAUGCUCCUGCCAAAUUCAGUCGUUAUAUUCGCCGAACUUAGUCUAAUUUUAUUAUUGCACUAAUAGUAACGUGUACGCGUAACUU
rnacentral:lncRNA from 1 species